rnacentral:lncRNA from 1 species
GCUACAUUAUUCCACGAGGGUGAGUGCUCUAAAAAAUACGAGGAAAUAAAAAGGGGCAAGUGCCCGAAACCUCGAAGAAAAGAAAGAGUGAGACGAGAGGUAAAAAUGGACAAGUGUCCAACAGUAGAAUUAGGGGUACAAGAUACCCACCUGAGAGAAAAGAAAAAGAAAAUAUAGAGCAUCUCAUUCUCCUCAAAAUGCUUCAAAGUGCAAGAAAGGUAUGUAUCCACUC